rnacentral:rRNA from 1 species
AAGGAUAAGAGUAACUGCUUGUCCCUUGACGGUAUCUAACCAGAAAGCCACGGCUAACUACGUGCCAGCAGCCGCGGUAAUACGUAGGUGGCAAGCGUUGUCCGGAUUUAUUGGGCGUAAAGCGAGCGCAGGCGGUUUCUUAAGUCUGAUGUGAAAGCCCCCGGCUUAACCGGGGAGGGUCAUUGGAAACUGAGAGACUUGAAUGCAGGAGAGGUAAGUGGAAUUCCACGUGUAGCGGUGAAAUGCGUAGAUAUGUGGAGGAACACCAGUGGCGAAGGCGGCUUACUGGCCUGUAAUUGACGCUGAGGCUCGAAAGCGUGGGGAGCAAACAGGAUUAGAUACCCUGGUAGUCCACGCCGUAAACGAUGAGUGCUAAGUGUUAGGGGGUUUCCGCCCCUUAGUGCUGCAGCUAACGCAUUAAGCACUCCGCCUGGGGAGUACGACCGCAAGGUUGAAACUCAAAGGAAUUGACGGGGGCCCGCACAAGUGGUGGAGCAUGUGGUUUAAUUCGAAGCAACGCGAAGAACCUUACCAGGUCUUGACAUCCUUUGACCACUCUGGAGACAGAGCUUUCCCUUCGGGGACAAAGUGACAGGUGGUGCAUGGUUGUCGUCAGCUCGUGUCGUGAGAUGUUGGGUUAAGUCCCGCAACGAGCGCAACCCUUGAUUUUAGUUGCCAGCAUUUAGUUGGGCACUCUAAAGUGACUGCCGGUGCAAGCCGGAGGAAGGUGGGGAUGACGUCAAAUCAUCAUGCCCCUUAUGACCUGGGCUACACACGUGCUACAAUGGAUAAUACAAAGGGUUGCCAAACCGCGAGGUCGAGCUAAUCCCAUAAAAUUAUUCUCAGUUCGGAUUGUAGGCUGCAACUCGCCUACAUGAAGCCGGAAUCACUAGUAAUCGUGGAUCAGCAUGCCACGGUGAAUACGUUCCCGGGCCUUGUACACACCGCCCGUCACACCACGAGAGUUUGUAACACCCGAAGUCGGUAGGGUAACCUUUAUGGAGCCAGCCGCCGAAGGUGGGACAGAUAAUUGGGGUGAAGUCGUAACAAGGUAGCCGUAUCGGAAGGUGCGGCUGGAUCACCUCCUUUCUAAGGAA